AUCCAACUGACGAGUCCAAAAUAGGACGAAACGCGCUUUAUGGAU
rnacentral:hammerhead_ribozyme from 1 species